UCAAGCGACUAAGUGUAUGUGGUGGAUGCCUUGGCGAUCACAGGCGAUGAAGGACGUGACAGCCUGCGAAAAGCUGUGGGGAGCUGGCAAAUAAGCUUUGAUCCACAGAUGUCCGAAUGAGGGAACUCACCUGCUUUGCAGGUAUCCCAUCCUGAAUAUAUAGGGAUGGGAGGCGAACGAAGCGAACUGAAACAUCUAAGUAGCUUCAGGAAAAGAAAUCAACCGAGAUUCCGAAAGUAGCGGCGAGCGAAAUCGGAUCAGCCCAGCACUCGAUAGCAGCCAACUUACGGGAACGGUCUGGAAAGUCCGGCCAUAGAGGGUGAUAGCCCCUUACUGGAAAAGGCAGCUGCGGUACUAAGUGUGCGAUAAGUAGAGCGGGACACGUGACAUCCUGCUCGAAGAUGGGGGGACCAUCCUCCAAGGCUAAAUACUCGUGAUCGACCGAUAGCGUACCAGUACUGUGAAGGAAAGGUUAAAAGAACCCCGGGAGGGGAGUGAAAUAGAUCCUGAAACCGCAUACAUACAAACAGUAGGAGCCUCGUUAAGGGGUGACUGCGUACCUUUUGCAUAAUGGGUCAGCGACUUACGUUUAAUGGCGAGCUUAACCGUAUAGGGGAGGCGCAGCGAAAGCGAGUUCGAACAGAGCGUUCAGUCGUUAGGCGUAGACCCGAAACCAGAUGAUCUAUCCAUGGCCAGGUUGAAGGUGUGGUAACACACACUGGAGGACCGAACCGACUAGUGUUGCAAAAUUAGCGGAUGAGCUGUGGAUAGGGGUGAAAGGCUAAACAAAUCUGGAGAUAGCUGGUUCUCCCCGAAAACUAUUGAGGUAGUGCCUCGUGUAUGACUCCAGGGGGUAGAGCACUGUUAUGGCUAGGGGGACAUGGCGUCUUACCAAACCAUGGCAAACUCCGAAUACUUGGAAGUUUGAGCACGGGAGACAGAGCACCGGGUGCUAACGUCCGGACUCAAAAGGGAAACAACCCAGACCGCCGUUUAAGGUCCCUAAUAUUAACUAAGUGGGAAACGAAGUGUGAAGGCUAAGACAGUCAGGAAGUUGGCUUAGAAGCAGCCAUCCUUCAAAGAAAGCGUAAUAGCUCACUGAUCGAGUCUUUCUGCGCGGAAGAUGUAACGGGGCUAAGUCAAUAACCGAAGCCGCGGAUUCACACUUGUGUGUGAGUGGUAGGGGAGCGUUCUGUAAGCCUGCGAAGGUGACUCGUAAGGGUUGCUGGAGGUAUCAGAAGUGCGAAUGCUGACAUGAGUAACGAUAAAGCGGGUGAAAAGCCCGCUCGCCGUAAGCCCAAGGUUUCCUGCUCUACGUUCAUCGGAGCAGGGUGAGUCGGCCCCUAAGGCCAGGCUGAGAAGCGUAGUCGAUGGGAAUCAGGUUAAUAAUCCUGAACCGCAUCAGAAUGCGAUGGGGGGACGGAGUUUGGAAGGUCAUCCGGGUGUUGGAUAUCCCGGUUUGUGAGAGUAGGAGGUUCGCAGGCAAAUCCGCGGACAUAUCUCCGAGUCAAAGCAUCGAGCUUUCGUUAGAAAGUGAAGUGAUUGGAAGAACUUCCAGGAAAAGCCUCUAAGCUUCAGUUUUGAUGUGACCGUACCGUAAACCGACACUGGUGGGCGAGUUGAAUAUACUAAGGCGCUUGAGAGAACUCGGGAGAAGGAACUCGGCAAAUUGACACCGUAACUUCGGGAUAAGGUGUGCCUUUGUAGCGUGGAGGGAGAAACACCCCGAGCGCGAAGAGGUCUCAGAUAAUCGGUGGCUGCGACUGUUUAUUAAAAACACAGCACUCUGCAAAGACGAAAGUCGACGUAUAGGGUGUGAUGCCUGCCCGGUGCUGGAAGAUUAAUUGAUGGGGUGCAAGCUCCUGAUCGAAGUCCCAGUAAACGGCGGCCGUAACUAUAACGGUCCUAAGGUAGCGAAAUUCCUUGUC
rnacentral:rRNA from 1 species